UCGAACGUAAGAUGACUGUAGGUGAAAGCUUACAUCUCUUCGGAGCAUUUUACGAGGUGCUGCAUGGUUGUCGUCAGCUCGUGCCGUGAGGUGUCGGGUUAAGUCCCAUAACGAGCGCAACCCCUACCUUAGUUGCCAUCAGGUUAAGCUGGGGACUCUAAAGGAACUGCCUACGCAAGUAGUGAGGAAGCGGGGAUGACGUCAAAUCAGCACGGCCCUUACGUCCAGGGCUACACACGUGCUACAAUGGCCGAUACAGAGGGCAGCUACCUGGUGACAGGAUGCAAAUCUCCAAAGUCGGUCUCAGUUCGGAUCGGAGUCUGCAACCCGACUCCGUGAAGUUGGAUUCGCUAGUAAUCGCGCAUCAGCCAUGGCGCGGUGAAUACGUUCCCGGGCCUU
rnacentral:rRNA from 1 species